AGUAAAAACAUAAGGACUUCAACCACCCUCUGCAGCUCCAGUCCUCAGGGAUCAUACACGGCAUGGGGGGAAACCUCCUGUGUGCAAGAGACAGAUGCUAAAAUGUUGGGCUCACUCCUUUCAAACACAAGGACCACCUCUCAUCUUGCCAGUUCCCAGUCCAAAGGGUCCACUUUGAUCCAGCAAGAAGUAGUGUCAUGAGCAAAGCAUAUAGAAGGGAUCCAGGCCUCAUGUCAGUACACAGCCCCACCAGUCAGUGCACAAGGAAUGUUCAUAGGUGAAAAAUGUAUUCUAGAACCUACUGCCCCUUCCUAUGCUGCCCCAACCAAAACAAGCUGAAAGAGAAGAAGGUGAAUCAAGACAAACACAAGCAUGGAAUGAAAGAGCAGAAGGAGUCCUGCUCCACAGAGUGUGUGCUUAAGGAAAGUCUGAACUUCAAGGAGACCUUCUCUGGUGUUGGAAUUUUCAGGUUAUUUCCCGGGUUCAGAGAGCUGUUAUGUGAUUUGACAGGGAAGAAAAAGCAGGUAUUAAUUUUUUUUUAUCCCUGAUUAUCCAGUGUUGG